UACAGAGGGUGCGAGCGUUGUUCGGAAUUAUUGGGCGUAAAGGGCGCGUAGGCGGUGCGGUAAGUCACCUGUGAAAUCUCCUGGCUCAACUGGGAGCUUGCAGGCGAAACUGCCGUGCUGGAGUGUGGGAGAGGUGAGUGGAAUUCCCGGUGUAGCGGUGAAAUGCGUAGGUAUCGGGAGGAACACCUGUGGCGAAAGCGGCUCACUGGACCACAACUGACGCUGAGGCGCGAAAGCUAGGGGAGCAAACAGG
rnacentral:rRNA from 1 species